rnacentral:pre_miRNA from 1 species
UCGGGGGUGGGGGAUCCCUCAGCCCGGAUUGUGAGAGGGUGCAGGCCAGGCCGAGGGACCUAUCAGGGCCAG